CUGCGCCGAUUUCUGCGCAGACAGAUCAUUGCGUGUGGACCGGGCUUUACGGGAAAUAACCGGAGAAUAAAAAUGUGCAUAAACCUUUGGGACUGACAGAAACCAAAAGCUGUAUACAUUUUAAGUUGUGCGUGAUGACUGGGUUUCACAAUUCGAGAUGAAUAAAGCUGAUGGAAGGAAGCUGUUAAAUGUAAUGCCGUUGUUGCAAGAAUUAUCAUUUCGUAUGCGUUAUUUAUUUGGUUAUUUCAAUUAGAAAUAACCAAAGGCAGGGACAGCAGCAGACAGUAAUAGUUUCAGAUGCCACCCAUACUCAAGAUUUGCACUCCUGGAGUGCAGCAGAGUCCACCCAGCACUUCAGUUUCCCCCAUCACUGCGCUAUUCUGAGGAGGUGUGCGAGUGAAACAGCUGUAUGAUGAAGGCUCCACAUAUGGGGAACUUGGGAAGAUGUGUUUGCAACACAGUGCGAUUAAUUGUAAGAGGUUUUACCAUGAACUCCUGGGCGCCAUAAGCAAAUGCAAACAAUCUUAUUGUUCAGUUUUAUCAUGUUGUGACAAAUCAAAUGAUGAUUUGCAUCUCGCAUGAAAUGAAGGGAAACUCUCAGUAGACAUAUUGCUAUUAAAGUGAACAGUGCUGUUGUUUCUGUCUAGUCAUGGAUGCAAGAGGUGGUGUUAUUUCUCCAAACAGUUUUUGUUAUAUCUGUGGUGAAUACACUAUUAAAAGUCAACAGAGAAAGAUAAGUAAUUUUGUGAGGAAAGUUUAUUUUGCUUACUUUUAAUUAAAACUUGGUGAUCAAGGUAAACCAUGGGCCCCGCAUAAGGUGUGUAGAAGAUGUGAAAAUUAUCUUCGUUUGUGGUUUAAGGGUAAGAAAAAUGCAUUUUGAUUUGGAAUUCCUAUGAUAUGGCGUGAGCAGAAAAACCAUACCACUGAUUGCUACUUCUGGUCAGUUGACAUAAAUGGAUUUAAUUCAAAAAACAAAAGAAGCACGAGUUAUCCUAACCUUGACUCAGCUACACAUCCAGUGCCCCAUAGCGCUGAAAUACCUAUCCCACAGUCACCUUCCAGUUUGGAUAAAUACCCGAGUGAGUGAGAGGGCGAAGUUACAUUACCUCCUCAGGGUGAAUCGAGCUCAGAUCUUUCUUCAGAUGAAAGAUCUCAACUAUUUUCUCAAAGUGAGCUCAAUGAUCUAGUAAGAGAUUUAGGUCUUUCAAAAGAUGCAGCCGAACUGUUAGGUUAUAGAUUAAAAAAUAAAACCUUUUUAUCAUCUGGCACCUCAUUUUCUUGGUACAGACACCGAGAAAAAGAAUUUACCCAGUUUUUCACAAAAGAAGGAAAUUUAGUUUUUUGCAAUGAUGUGGAAGGACUCAUGCAUUGCUUUGAUAUGCAGUAUAUUCAUCUGAGUGGCACCUAUUCAUUGAUUCAUCCAAAACUAGUAUUGCACAAUGGAAAUAAAUUUGCAUUGCUUCCAAUGAGACAUUCUGUGCAUAUGGAUGAAAACUAUAGCGAUUUGGCCAUUAACCUCGAAAAAAUCAAAUAUCAGGACCAUAAAUGGGUGGUUUGUGGGAACUUCAAAAUACUCACGAUGCUUUUGGGUCAGCAGGCAGGAUACUAAAUACCCAUGCUUCUUAUGCUUGUGGGAUAGUAGAGUGAGCCAGAGAACAGCACUGGACUAAAAGUGAUUGGCCACCCUGAGAAACUUUAAAACCUAGAGAGAAAAAUGUUAUCAAUACUACUUUGGUACUGCCAGAAAAGGUUUUGUUGUCCCUCUCCACAUCAAAUUGGGGUUGAUGAAACAAUUUGUAAAAUCGCUGCAAAAGGGUGGAGACUGUUUUAAAUAUCUAUAUACAAAAUUCUUGAAGCUGUCUGAAGCAAAGUUGAAAGAGGGAGUUUUCACUGUCCCCAACAUAAGAAAACUUUUAACUGACACCCUCUUUGUGGAAAGUAUGAAUGAGAAGGAAAAAGAAGCUUGGGUAUCAUUCAAGGUUGUAUUGCGAAAGUUUUUGGGAAAUACUAAGGAUCCUAAAUAAAAAACCAUUGUUCAACGGAUGUUAGCAGCAUACGAAGCUCAAGGCUGCAAGAUGAGCUUGAAGGACCAUUUUCUAUACUCCCACAUAGACAGUUUUCCUGACAUGCUGGGAGCUUAUAGUGAAGAACAGGGGGAGUGGUUUCACCAGGAUGUCUGUGACUUCGAGAGAUGUUACCAAGGAAGAUGGGAUGUCACUAUGCUUGCUGACUUCUGUUGGGUGCUUAAGCAGGAGACUAAAGGUGGAAAUCAGAAAAGGACUCAGCAAAGUAUCAAGGAAAAGAAGGAAAGGUUUCAUAAAGAAUAUGAAUAAGUAUAAUAUUGUUACUAUGUGUCUCAAAAUAAUGUUCCAUUGGUUGAAAAAAAAAAUAUGUUUGAUUAUUUUGAAUAAACAAGUGCU